rnacentral:lncRNA from 1 species
CUCAGCUGAUUAAAGGGAUUAUUGGUUAAGACUUCAUUAUAAACAUGUUCACACACUAGUUAAAAACAACUGAAAUAAACCAAAUCCCACAAUAUUUUCAGUUUCUGUCUUUUAGCUAUACCUGUUCUCAAAAACAACAGCACAAACAGGAGGUAAUCAGAAAAGUCUGUUUUCCAGUUCUACAUUUGACUGAGAAGGGACAUUUAUGCAAAAGUAGAAGGCAAGACUGGCCUGUGGAAAGCCCAAUGAAUACUCCACAAAUAUUGAAGAUGCUUACAUCAAGGUCCAGUUGUAGUGUCCAAGUUCUUCAGGGAAAAUACAAGACCACACUGACCAAGACGCUGAAGAAUGUUCUGAAUGCAGGCAAAAGUUAUGAAAAAGAUAUGAAACUCUAUUUUUGCCCAUAAAAUGCACACACAGCACAGUGAGAGCAAGAAUGCACUGUAAGAUUCUCUGGGUUUGACACAAAAUUGGUCAUUUAAACACAGUGGAUCUCAGUAUAUAACCAGGAAUGUUUGAGCUAUGGAAUCUUUAACAUUUCUAAAGAAAAAGUAAAAUGAGUGAAU